rnacentral:rRNA from 1 species
GAUUAAGUUAUUAAGGGCGCACGGUGGAUGCCUUGGCACUAGAAGCCGAUGAAGGACGUUACUAACGACGAUAUGCUUUGGGGAGCUGUAAGUAAGCUUUGAUCCAGAGAUUUCCGAAUGGGGAAACCCAGCAUGAGUUAUGUCAUGUUAUCGAUAUGUGAAUACAUAGCAUAUCAGAAGGCACACCCGGAGAACUGAAACAUCUUAGUACCCGGAGGAAGAGAAAGAAAAUUCGAUUCCCUUAGUAGCGGCGAGCGAAAUGGGAAGAGCCCAAACCAACAAGCUUGCUUGUUGGGGUUGUAGGACACUCUAUACGGAGUUACAAAGGACGACAUUAGACGAAUCAUCUGGAAAGAUGAAUCAAAGAAGGUAAUAAUCCUGUAGUCGAAAAUGUUGUCUCUCUUGAGUGGAUCCUGAGUACGACGGAGCACGUGAAAUUCCGUCGGAAUCUGGGAGGACCAUCUCCUAAGGCUAAAUACUCUCUAGUGACCGAUAGUGAACCAGUACCGUGAGGGAAAGGUGAAAAGCACCCCGGAAGGGGAGUGAAAUAGAACCUGAAACCGUGUGUUUACAAGUAGUCAGAGCCCGUUAAUGGGUGAUGGCGUGCCUUUUGUAGAAUGAACCGGCGAGUUACGAUUUGAUGCAAGGUUAAGCAGUAAAUGUGGAGCCGUAGCGAAAGCGAGUCUGAAUAGGGCGUUUAGUAUUUGGUCGUAGACCCGAAACCAGGUGAUCUACCCUUGGUCAGGUUGAAGUUCAGGUAACACUGAAUGGAGGACCGAACCGACUUACGUUGAAAAGUGAGCGGAUGAACUGAGGGUAGCGGAGAAAUUCCAAUCGAACCUGGAGAUAGCUGGUUCUCUCCGAAAUAGCUUUAGGGCUAGCCUCAAGUGAUGAUUAUUGGAGGUAGAGCACUGUUUGGACGAGGGGCCCCUCUCGGGUUACCGAAUUCAGACAAACUCCGAAUGCCAAUUAAUUUAACUUGGGAGUCAGAACAUGGGUGAUAAGGUCCGUGUUCGAAAGGGAAACAGCCCAGACCACCAGCUAAGGUCCCAAAAUAUAUGUUAAGUGGAAAAGGAUGUGGCGUUGCCCAGACAACUAGGAUGUUGGCUUAGAAGCAGCCAUCAUUUAAAGAGUGCGUAAUAGCUCACUAGUCGAGUGACACUGCGCCGAAAAUGUACCGGGGCUAAACAUAUUACCGAAGCUGUGGAUUGUCCUUUGGACAAUGGUAGGAGAGCGUUCUAAGGGCGUUGAAGCAUGAUCGUAAGGACAUGUGGAGCGCUUAGAAGUGAGAAUGCCGGUGUGAGUAGCGAAAGACGGGUGAGAAUCCCGUCCACCGAUUGACUAAGGUUUCCAGAGGAAGGCUCGUCCGCUCUGGGUUAGUCGGGUCCUAAGCUGAGGCCGACAGGCGUAGGCGAUGGAUAACAGGUUGAUAUUCCUGUACCACCUAUAAUCGUUUUAAUCGAUGGGGGGACGCAGUAGGAUAGGCGAAGCGUGCGAUUGGAUUGCACGUCUAAGCAGUAAGGCUGAGUAUUAGGCAAAUCCGGUACUCGUUAAGGCUGAGCUGUGAUGGGGAGAAGACAUUGUGUCUUCGAGUCGUUGAUUUCACACUGCCGAGAAAAGCCUCUAGAUAGAAAAUAGGUGCCCGUACCGCAAACCGACACAGGUAGUCAAGAUGAGAAUUCUAAGGUGAGCGAGCGAACUCUCGUUAAGGAACUCGGCAAAAUGACCCCGUAACUUCGGGAGAAGGGGUGCUCUUUAGGGUUAACGCCCAGAAGAGCCGCAGUGAAUAGGCCCAAGCGACUGUUUAUCAAAAACACAGGUCUCUGCUAAACCGUAAGGUGAUGUAUAGGGGCUGACGCCUGCCCGGUGCUGGAAGGUUAAGAGGAGUGGUUAGCUUCUGCGAAGCUACGAAUCGAAGCCCCAGUAAACGGCGGCCGUAACUAUAACGGUCCUAAGGUAGCGAAAUUCCUUGUCGGGUAAGUUCCGACCCGCACGAAAGGCGUAACGAUUUGGGCACUGUCUCAACGAGAGACUCGGUGAAAUCAUAGUACCUGUGAAGAUGCAGGUUACCCGCGACAGGACGGAAAGACCCCGUGGAGCUUUACUGUAGCCUGAUAUUGAAAUUCGGCACAGCUUGUACAGGAUAGGUAGGAGCCUUUGAAACGUGAGCGCUAGCUUACGUGGAGGCGCUGGUGGGAUACUACCCUAGCUGUGUUGGCUUUCUAACCCGCACCACUUAUCGUGGUGGGAGACAGUGUCAGGCGGGCAGUUUGACUGGGGCGGUCGCCUCCUAAAAGGUAACGGAGGCGCUCAAAGGUUCCCUCAGAAUGGUUGGAAAUCAUUCAUAGAGUGUAAAGGCAUAAGGGAGCUUGACUGCGAGACCUACAAGUCGAGCAGGGUCGAAAGACGGACUUAGUGAUCCGGUGGUUCCGCAUGGAAGGGCCAUCGCUCAACGGAUAAAAGCUACCCCGGGGAUAACAGGCUUAUCUCCCCCAAGAGUUCACAUCGACGGGGAGGUUUGGCACCUCGAUGUCGGCUCAUCGCAUCCUGGGGCUGUAGUCGGUCCCAAGGGUUGGGCUGUUCGCCCAUUAAAGCGGUACGCGAGCUGGGUUCAGAACGUCGUGAGACAGUUCGGUCCCUAUCCGUCGUGGGCGUAGGAAAUUUGAGAGGAGCUGUCCUUAGUACGAGAGGACCGGGAUGGACAUACCUCUGGUGUACCAGUUGUCGUGCCAACGGCAUAGCUGGGUAGCUAUGUGUGGACGGGAUAAGUGCUGAAAGCAUCUAAGCAUGAAGCCCCCCUCAAGAUGAGAU